rnacentral:lncRNA from 1 species
UUCUUGAGCACAAGGUCACCUUCUCUGAACACACGAGGCUUGACCUUCUUAUCGAAUGCUUUCUUCAUUCUCUGCUGAUACAACUGACCAUGACACAUGGCAGUCAAUCUCUUCUUUUCAAUCAAAUUCAGUUGGUCAUAACGACUCUGAACCCAUUCAGCAUCAGUCAACUAGGGACUUGAGGGUAUCAUUCUUCCUUUUUUCUCUUUAAAAAAAA